rnacentral:rRNA from 1 species
UUGAACGCUGGCGGCAUGCUUUACACAUGCACGUCGAACGGUAACAGGCCUUCGGGUGCUGACGAGUGGCGAACGGGUGAGUAAUGCAUCGGAACGUACCCAGAGGUGGGGGAUAACGCAGCGAAAGCUGUGCUAAUACCGCAUGUGAUCUGAGGAUGAAAGCGGGGGACCGAGCAGCAAUGUUUGGCCUCGCGCCUUUGGAGCGGCCGAUGUCGGAUUAGCUAGUUGGUGGGGUAAAGGCCUACCAAGGCGACGAUCCGUAGCUGGUCUGAGAGGACGACCAGCCACACUGGGACUGAGACACGGCCCAGACUCCUACGGGAGGCAGCAGUGGGGAAUGUUGGACAAUGGGCGCAAGCCUGAUCCAGCAAUGCCGCGUGCGGGAAGAAGGCCUUCGGGUUGUAAACCGCUUUUGGCAGGAACGAAACGGUGUCCGCUAAUACCGGGCGCUAAUGACGGUACCUGCAGAAUAAGCACCGGCUAACUACGUG